GCCAAUGGGAUGGGUCCCCUGAGUGUUUUGCAAGAGACCAGGCUCUGUUUCUUGCCUUAAACAGAGUUGAAAGCCCAGGGGAAACCAAAGAUUUGACCUAUCUUUUAUUCUGAGCUUUUUGAAAGGUGGAUGAUUAUCAACAAUUGCAAGGAAGUCCUUUGAAAAAUAGUCUAAUGCCAUUUCAACAUCAGGAAUUUCAGAGCUAAACAACACAAGCAGUGCUCCAUGUGUGGCUACAACAGGGGGUCAGACACCAUUUGCUGACUUCUGCCAGAGCAAGUGCUGUGGUAAACUGCCAACAACUGUGGUCCGGUACUUGAACAACCAGUCAGCCCCAGUUUACAUCCCCCAACCCACACCAGCAGGCUCCCAAAUAAGAUAAGACAACUGAGUAUCUUCAAAUUAGAGUGCUGGCAUUAACUUCUGUGCUCGCUCAUGCACCUGCUGGGAAAUGAGAGAAAAAAUGUCUCUUUUUUUAACAGGAGCAGCGAGCUUAGUCUGCAACAGCAGUGGACAGCAGGAGCAGUUACUGUUGUCUGGCGAGGCUCCGGUAGACAGGCUCUGCCACAUGCACAUUCCUCCCUCGAGACCACAGACAACCAGACAAGUAGAUAACGUUUUAGUGAGUCCCGGCCAAGAAAAAGAUUAAUAUGUCUGAUGUUAACAAGAUUUGGGACAAACUGGACUCUUGUCUUGGAUGGACGGACUGAGGUGGGCUGAGAUGGGGUUGUUGCUGCAGAACUGCCUGCAAUACACGCUUCAACUCCCACAACAACAUUAUUACUAGGGAUUACACGCGACAUGAGAAUAUCAUCA